rnacentral:rRNA from 1 species
UACGUAGGGUGCAAGCGUUAAUCGGAAUUACUGGGCGUAAAGCGUGCGCAGGCGGUUCGUUGUGUCGGCGGGGAAAGCCCCGGGCUUAACCUGGGAAUGGCCGUUGAAAAUGGCGAACUGGAGUGUGGCAGAGGGGGGUGGAAUUCCGCGUGUAGCAGUGAAAUGCGUAGAGAUGCGGAGGAACACCGAUGGCGAAGGCAGCCCCCUGGGCUAACACUGACGCUCAGGCACGAAAGCGUGGGGAGCAAACAGG